AUUGAACGCUGGCGGCAGGCUUAACACAUGCAAGUCGAGCGGUAACAGAGAGAAGCUUGCUUCUCUGCUGACGAGCGGCGGACGGGUGAGUAAUGCCUAGGAAUCUGCCUAGUAGUGGGGGAUAACUUGCCGAAAGGUAAGCUAAUACCGCAUACGUCCUACGGGAGAAAGGAGGGGACCUUCGGGCCUUUCGCUAUUAGAUGAGCCUAGGUCGGAUUAGUUAGUUGGUGAGGUAAUGGCUCACCAAGACCGCGAUCCGUAACUGGUCUGAGAGGAUGAUCAGUCACACUGGAACUGAGACACGGUCCAGACUCCUACGGGAGGCAGCAGUGGGGAAUUUUGGACAAUGGGGGGACCCUGAUCCAGCCAUGCCGCGUGUGUGAAGAAGGUCUUAGGAUUGUAAAGCACUUUAAGUUGGGAGGAAGAGCAGUUAACUAAUAUUUGACUGUUUUGACGUUACCGACAGAAUAAGCACCGGCUAACUUCGUGCCAGCAGCCGCCGUAA
rnacentral:rRNA from 1 species